rnacentral:snRNA from 1 species
GAGGAGUGGGACAGGCUAGUACAGAACCCAUUUCUUGCCUUUUACCAGAGAUGGCCGUGGUUUGCCCACUAUACUCCUCUACUCAAUCUUUGGAAUAAUCCUGCUACGACAUAG